rnacentral:rRNA from 1 species
GCAGCAACGCCGCGUGAGGGACGAAGGCCUUCGGGUUGUAAACCUCUUUUAGUAGGGAAGAAGCGAAAGUGACGGUACCUGCAGAAAAAGCACCGGCUAACUACGUGCCAGCAGCCGCGGUAAUACGUAGGGUGCAAGCGUUGUCCGGAAUUAUUGGGCGUAAAGAGCUCGUAGGCGGUUUGUCGCGUCUGCUGUGAAAACUGGAGGCUCAACCUCCAGCCUGCAGUGGGUACGGGCAGACUAGAGUGCGGUAGGGGAGAUUGGAAUUCCUGGUGUAGCGGUGGAAUGCGCAGAUAUCAGGAGGAACACCGAUGGCGAAGGCAGAUCUCUGGGCCGUAACUGACGCUGAGGAGCGAAAGCAUGGGGAGCGAACAGGAUUAGAUACCCUGGUAGUCCAUGCCGUAAACGUUGGGAACUAGAUGUAGGGGCCAUUCCACGGUUUCUGUGUCGCAGCUAACGCAUUAAGUUCCCCGCCUGGGGAGUACGGCCGCAAGGCUAAAACUCAAAGGAAUUGACGGGGGCCCGCACAAGCGGCGGAGCAUGCGGAUUAAUUCGAUGCAACGCGAAGAACCUUACCAAGGCUUGACAUAUACCGGAAACGGCUAGAGAUAGUCGCCCCGCAAGGU